UACGUAGGGUGCAAGCGUUGUCCGGAAUUAUUGGGCGUAAAGGGCUCGUAGGCGGUUUGUCACGUCGGGUGUGAAAGCCCGGGGCUUAACCCCGGGUCUGCAUUCGAUACGGGCUAGCUAGAGUGUGGUAGGGGAGAUCGGAAUUCCUGGUGUAGCGGUGAAAUGCGCAGAUAUCAGGAGGAACACCGGUGGCGAAGGCGGUUCUCUGGGCCUGUACUGACGCUGAGGAACGAAAGCGUGGGGAGCGAACAGG
rnacentral:rRNA from 1 species